rnacentral:rRNA from 1 species
UACACACGUGCUACAAUGGCGCAUACAAAGAGAAGCGACCUCGCGAGAGCAAGCGGACCUCAUAAAGUGCGUCGUAGUCCGGAUUGGAGUCUGCAACUCGACUCCAUGAAGUCGGAAUCGCUAGUAAUCGUGGAUCAGAAUGCCACGGUGAAUACGUUCCCGGGCCUUGUACACACCGCCCGUCACACCAUGGGAGUGGGUUGCAAAAGAAGUAGGUAGCUUAACCUUCGGGAGGGCGCUUACCACUUUGUGAUUCAUGACUGGGGUGAAGUCGUAACAAGGUAACCGUAGGGGAACCUGCGGUUGG